AUCGAUGAAGAACGCAGCGAAAUGCGAUACGUAGUGUGAAUUGCAGAAUUCCGCGAAUCAUCGAGUCUUUGAACGCAAGUUGCGCCCGAGGCUCGUCCGAGGGCAUUUCCGCUAGAGCGUCACCGCGCCCCCCACCGACCCUCCCCUCCCGCCACGCGCGUGGGUGGAUGCGCGUCGAGUGAAAGUGGCCGUCCCCGCGGGCCGCCUUGCGCGGUCCUGAGGGUGGGCUGAAAUGGAUGGGACGGGGCCGCCGUGGUGCCGCAGUCCGCGAUCGGGUGAUGUCCCGCGCGCUCCUUCGGGAGCCCGGGGCUCUUUCUAAGUGCGUGGCUGCGUGUCCCCCAGUCGGUUCCCUCUCGAAGUGCAGGUCGAGCGCGCGCGCCCCCCGCGGCGCGUCGCGUCGCGUCACGCAUCAGACCUCUAAUCGGAAAAGACCACCCGCUGAGUUUAAGCAUAUCAAUAAGCGGAGGA
rnacentral:rRNA from 1 species